AAGCGAGCCCGCAGCGGGGGCGAGCAUGCGCAGCAGGGAGACGACGCUCUCGCGUGCUGCGGCCGCCCUUUGAGGGCCCACAGCGCCACCUGGGGACCGGAGGCCGGUAGGAGCGAAGCCAAGCGAUGCUCCCUGCCCGCGCCAGGCCGGGGGUUGGGAGUUGUUUGGGGCGCGAGCCCCCCGAGAGCGCUGCGGGUCCGAGGGCGGCCGCGCGCUGUGUGCGCACGCCCGCAAGCACGCCUUCCCGCCCUCCUGCCGUCACGGGCUUGCCUGCAGAAGCCUGCUGACACGCUGAUGACGGCCCGUUCUGUGAUCCGCUGCCUGACGUCCAGAUGAUCCCCAAAGUACUUCUGUGGCCCGUCUACACAACACGCAGAGCGCUUUCUCCAGGUUAGCUUCGGCCUCCAGAGUCACCUCAGGGUUAGUUUCAGCACUCUUGGGGGCUUUUUCCUCCUCAGUUUGCACUAGCUUUAAAAAGCAAACAGAAAACUGCCUCUAUCCGAGUCCCGCCUGUCCAUCCCAAUCCGCACGCUCCACCGGGCAUCAGGCUGAAGAUGAUGGGGGCACAGAAUUCCACUACCGAUAGGGGUGGUGCAUGACUGAAAUGACAGCUGAAGAGGAGAAAGCUUGGUUUGUGACAAUGCCCUGUGUAGUAUACCUCCUGUGCUCGAUUCUACCUGCUGGAUUGAAAGCCAAGUGUUGAGGAAGGUCGAAUGACAAGACUGAAGAAACCUGAGUCAUGACUUGCAGAAGAGCCUCUUGCUAAUCAGAAAUCUCUUCUGGACUUCAUGUUUGAGAAACAAACGCACUUCAGUUUUGAGCCUUUUUAUAUUUCUGAGUUGAUUUGCCAUGGCAACAGGCAUUCACUAAUACUGUGAAUUUAAGGAGCUGAUUACAUUUUAAGGAGACACCUACUGUAACCCCACCCAACAAACCACAAUAUAAUUUAAUAAGCACUAUAAUGAAAUAAUGAAGGUGAUAUGAAAGUUGGAGGAGGGAGCAGUUAAUUCUGCUCUGAAAGAGCUUUUGGAAGAAGUAAUGUGUGAUCUGGACUCUGAUGAAAACACAGAUAGGAAUUUACCAGGUAGACAAGUAGGGAGAAGGGGUGAUGCCUACUACAAGAGAAGAUGAGCAAAGGCGAGAACACACAUUAUGUGCCCAGGAGUAUGUGCAUACAGCUAGUUGAUUACUAAGUCUCGGAUGGACUAGGAGGACCAGCCAGAGUUCUUGUUUGGAAUGUGGUGGAAUGAGAAGGCCAUGCCAAGAUUGCCGCUGGCAAGUGGGCGUCAGUUACUCAGGAAUGGCUUCGAAACCCACCUGGCAACAGAGCCUGCCUGGCAACAGGCUGUGAUUGGAUGGCUUUGGAAAUCACAUGGCAAACAGAGCCUGCCUGGCAACAGGUUGUGACUGGAUGGCUUCGGAUACUGCCUGGCAACAGGUAGUGAUUGGUGAGGGCAUAAACUGCCCCUUGACCAGAUUGACUGCCUCGGCUAUAUUAGCUGCUGCACCAACUGAAAUAAACGAGUCUAUGGGCUGCUUGCCUCUGGUCCACUUUCACCCGACUCCCAGUAUCUGUGUGGUGACUCCAUGCCUCUUGCCCCCACCGCGCUCCUUCUCUCAGAACAAAUCCACAGCAACAUCUGGUGCCAACGUGACUGAGAGAGAGACAACGUGUCGGACUCGAGAAUGUGGGACAGCCCAUUUGGGUACCAGCCAGAAACAUCAAGUCUGCAAUUGACAGUCAACCAGAACAAGCUGAACAAGACUGAGAGUCAGCCUUGUUAGCAGAAGCACCUGCUGCCUAUUGUCAAGCUGCUGCUCUAUCAUCCUGCCCUGAGAAACUGUCCACAGCCACAUUCACUAUUGCUUGAUACCCCAGUAGCUCUGGUAAGCCACUCAAACAGCCUACAGUCUGCGUGCCAUCAUGCCAUUCCUGGUUAUCAUUGUUACUCAUUCCUACCCCCAUCUGAGCAAGCACUCUUGUGGUCUUCCAGUUUGAAGGCUGGUUAGUCAAUGACGGGUAAGAGUCCCUGGGGGACAACCUAAGACAGCCACAUGGAAACGGGGUCAACAAUGGUAUGGCCAAGGAUAAUGCCUCCUGUUGCUCAAAAAUAAACGAAAAGGGGUAAUGUGGUGGAAUGAGAAGGCCAUGCCAACAUGGCUGCUGGCAAGCGAGCAUCAGUUACUCAGGAAUGGCUUCAAAACCCACCUGGCAAUGGAGCCUGCCUGGCAACAGGCUGUGAUUGGUUAGGGUAUAAACUGCCCCUUGACCAGAUUGACUGCCUCGGGUAUACAAGCUGCUGUACCAACUGAAAUAAAUGAGUCUGUGGGCUGCUCGCCUCUGGCCUGCU